rnacentral:rRNA from 1 species
UUGGAGGGCAAGUCUGGUGCCAGCAGCCGCGGUAAUUCCAGCUCCAAUAGCGUAUAUUAAAGUUGUUGCAGUUAAAAAGCUCGUAGUUGAAUUUCGGGGUCAAUAGGUUGGUCGUGCCAAUGGUAUGUACUGGCUUUAUUGAUUCCUACCUCUUGACGAACUGUGAUGCCAUUAAUUUGGUGUUGCAGGAAAUCAGGACUGUUACCUUGAAAAAAUUAGAGUGUUUAAAGCAGGCUUACGCUUGAAUACAUAGCAUGGAAUAAUGAAAUAGGACGUUUGAACCUAUUUUGUUGGUUUCUAGGAUCGACGUAAUGAUUAAUAGGGAUAGUUGGGGGCAUUAGUAUUCAAUUGUCAGAGGUGAAAUUCUUGGAUUUAUUGAAGACUAACUACUGCGAAAGCAUUUGCCAAGGAUGUUUUCAUUAAUCAAGAACGAAAGUUAGGGGAUCGAAGACGAUCAGAUACCGUCGUAGUCUUAACCAUAAACUAUGCCGACUAGGGAUCGGACGGUGGUUUUUUUAUGCCCCGUUCGGCACCUUACGGGAAAC